rnacentral:rRNA from 1 species
CUAGCUACAGGCUUAACACAUGCAAGUCGAGGGGCAUCAGGAAGAAAGCUUGCUUUCUUUGCUGGCGACCGGCGCACGGGUGAGUAACACGUAUCCAACCUGCCCUUUACUCGGGGAUAGCCUUUCGAAAGAAAGAUUAAUACCCGAUAGCAUAAUGAUUCCGCAUGGUUUCAUUAUUAAAGGAUUCCGGUAAAGGAUGGGGAUGCGUUCCAUUAGGUUGUUGGUGAGGUAACGGCCCACCAAGCCUUCGAUGGAUAGGGGUUCUGAGAGGAAGGUCCCCCACAUUGGAACUGAGACACGGUCCAAACUCCUACGGGAGGCAGCAGUGAGGAAUAUUGGUCAAUGGGCGCUAGCCUGAACCAGCCAAGUAGCGUGAAGGAUGAAGGCUCUAUGGGUCGUAAACUUCUUUUAUAUAAGAAUAAAGUGCAGUAUGUAUACUGUUUUGUAUGUAUUAUAUGAAUAAGGAUCGGCUAACUCCGUGCCAGCAGCCGCGGUAAUACGGAGGAUCCGAGCGUUAUCCGGAUUUAUUGGGUUUAAAGGGAGCGUAGGUGGACUGGUAAGUCAGUUGUGAAAGUUUGCGGCUCAACCGUAAAAUUGCAGUUGAUACUGUCAGUCUUGAGUACAGUAGAGGUGGGCGGAAUUCGUGGUGUAGCGGUGAAAUGCUUAGAUAUCACGAAGAACUCCGAUUGCGAAGGCAGCUCACUGGACUGCAACUGACACUGAUGCUCGAAAGUGUGGGUAUCAAACAGGAUUAGAUACCCUGGUAGUCCACACAGUAAACGAUGAAUACUCGCUGUUUGCGAUAUACAGUAAGCGGCCAAGCGAAAGCAUUAAGUAUUCCACCUGGGGAGUACGCCGGCAACGGUGAAACUCAAAGGAAUUGACGGGGGCCCGCACAAGCGGAGGAACAUGUGGUUUAAUUCGAUGAUACGCGAGGAACCUUACCCGGGCUUAAAUUGCAGUGGAAUGAUGUGGAAACAUGUCAGUGAGCAAUCACCGCUGUGAAGGUGCUGCAUGGUUGUCGUCAGCUCGUGCCGUGAGGUGUCGGCUUAAGUGCCAUAACGAGCGCAACCCUUAUCUUUAGUUACUAACAGGUUAUGCUGAGGACUCUAGAGAGACUGCCGUCGUAAGGUGUGAGGAAGGUGGGGAUGACGUCAAAUCAGCACGGCCCUUACGUCCGGGGCUACACACGUGUUACAAUGGGGGGUACAGAAGGCAGCUAGCGGGUGACCGUAUGCUAAUCCCAAAAUCCUCUCUCAGUUCGGAUCGAAGUCUGCAACCCGACUUCGUGAAGCUGGAUUCGCUAGUAAUCGCGCAUCAGCCACGGCGCGGUGAAUACGUUCCCGGGCCUUGUACACACCGCCCGUCAAGCCAUGGGAGCCGGGGGUACCUGAAGUACGUAACCGCAAGGAUCGUCCUAGGGUAAAACUGGUGACU